GGCAGCCGACCUCGCGGAGUAUCCGCUGUG
rnacentral:sRNA from 1 species